rnacentral:rRNA from 1 species
AUUGAACGCUGGCGACAUGCCUUACACAUGCCAGUCGAACGGCAGCACGGGUGCUUGCACCUGGUGGCGAGUGGCGAACGGGUGAGUAAUACAUCGGAACAUGUCCUGUAGUGGGGGAUAGCCCGGCGAAAGCCGGAUUAAUACCGCAUACGAUCUACGGAUGAAAGGGGGGGACCUUCGGGCCUCGCGCUAUAGGGUUGGCCGAUGGCUGAUUAGCUAGUUGGUGGGGUAAAGGCCUACCAAGGCGACGAUCAGUAGCUGGUCUGAGAGGACGACCAGUCACACUGGGACUGAGACACGGCCCAGACUCCUACGGGAGGCAGCAGUGGGGAAUUUUGGACAAUGGGCGAAAGCCUGAUCCAGCAAUGCCGCGUGUGUGAAGAAGGCCUUCGGGUUGUAAAGCACUUUUGUCCGGAAAGAAAUCCUUGGCCCUAAUACGGUCGGGGGAUGACGGUACCGGAAGAAUAAGCACCGGCUAACUACGUG